ACUGCACAUUGUUGGAGCUUGAAAUUGAGGCCACUGGCGGGCCAACGAACUCACAAGCAUGGGUAUUGUGGUACAUGAGAGGCACAUCUUUUCAAUAAUGCCACAAGGGUCUCUGGCCCAGUGAGUGCAGUUUGAUAGUAAUUCUUGCUACAAGU